CCUACGGGGGGCAGCAGUGAGGAAUAUUGGUCAAUGGACGAGAGUCUGAACCAACCAAGUAGCGUGAAGGAUGACUGCCCUAUGGGUUGUAAACUUCUUUUAUAUGGGAAUAAAACAGGGUAUGCAUACCCUCUUGUAUGUACCAUAUGAAUAAGGAUCGGCUAACUCCGUGCCAUCAUCAGCGUUAAUACGGAGGAUCCGAGCGUUAUCCGGAUUUAUUGGGUUUAAAGGGAGCGUAGGUGGGUUGUUAAGUCAGUUGUGAAAGUUUGCGGCUCAACCGUAAAAUUGCAGUUGAAACUGGCAGUCUGGAGUACAGUAGAGGUGGGCGGAAUUCGUGGUGUAGCGGUGAAAUGCUUAGAUAUCACGAAGAACUCCGAUUGCGAAGGCAGCUCACUGGACUGCAACUGACACUGAUGCGCGAAAGUGUGGGUAUCAAACAGGAUUAGAUACCCGUGUAAUC
rnacentral:rRNA from 1 species